rnacentral:rRNA from 1 species
CUAGUAACUGCGAGUGAAGCGGGAAAAGCUCAAAUUUAAAAUCUGGUGGUCUUUGGCCAUCCGAGUUGUAAUCUAGAGAAGUGUUACCCGUGUCGGACCGUGUACAAGUCUCCUGGAAUGGAGCGUCAUAGAGGGUGAGAAUCCCGUCUUUGACACGGACCCCCGAUGCUUUGUGGUGCGCUCUCAACGAGUCGAGUUGUUUGGGAAUGCAGCUCAAAAUGGGUGGUAAAUUCCAUCUAAAGCUAAAUAUUGGCGAGAGACCGAUAGCGAACAAGUACCGUGAGGGAAAGAUGAAAAGAACUUUGGAAAGAGAGUUAAACAGUACGUGAAAUUGCUGAAAGGGAAACGCUUGAAGUCAGUCGCGUUGGCCGGAAAUCAGCCUUCCUUUUGGUUGGUGUACUUUCUGGUUGACGGGCCAGCAUCAGUUUUGAUCGGUGGAAAAAGUUGUAGGGAAUGUGGCAUCUUCGGGUGUGUUAUAGCCUUGCUUCGUAUACAUCGGUUGGGACUGAGGAACUCAGCACGCCGCAAGGCCGGGGUUCGCCCACGUUCGUGCUUAGGAUGCUGGCAUAAUGGCUUUAAUCGACCCGUCUUGAAACACGGACCAAGGAGUCUAACAUGCCUGCGAGUGUUUGGGUGGAAAACCCGAGCGCGUAAUGAAAGUGAAAGUCGAGAUCCUUGUCAUGGGGAGCAUCGACGCCCGGACCAGAUGUUUUCUGACGGUUCUGCGGUAGAGCAUGUAUGUUGGGACCCGAAAGAUGGUGAACUAUGCCUGAAUAGGGUGAAGCCAGAGGAAACUCUGGUGGAGGCUCGUAGCGAUUCUGACGUGCAAAUCG